UGAAGAUCACAAUCCAUUUUAUUCAUAUUAAAAUUAAUAACAAAUUGUGAAAAGGAUUCUGGUAGUGACUGCAAGAUCAAAUCUUGAGAAAGCUCUUUAUUAGUUUGCACCCCAACUUCUCAAGUUCUUCAAUAAGAUCAAUCAUAUGAUUGACAUAGGGUCCCAGCUGGUGAGUUUCCAGUCAAUUUGGAUCCAAAUAAAGCCUUAGAAAGUUGGUAUCUAGCUGUCCUGCUUUGUGUACUAAACAUCUUCUUAAGAUGUUCAAUAAUUGCAGUUGGAUCCAUAUCCUGAUGUUUCCUCUGCAGUUCAGAAUUCAUAGAAGCGAGAAUGAUGCAUUUGNNN
rnacentral:lncRNA from 1 species